UAGGGAAUCUUCGGCAAUGGACGAAAGUCUGACCGAGCAACGCCGCGUGAGUGAAGAAGGUUUUCGGAUCGUAAAACUCUGUUGUUAGAGAAGAACAAGGACGUUAGUAACUGAACGUCCCCUGACGGUAUCUAACCAGAAAGCCACGGCUAACUACGUGCCAGCAGCCGCGGUAAUACGUAGGUGGCAAGCGUUGUCCGGAUUUAUUGGGCGUAAAGCGAGCGCAGGCGGUUUCUUAAGUCUGAUGUGAAAGCCCCCGGCUCAACCGGGGAGGGUCAUUGGAAACUGGGAGACUUGAGUGCAGAAGAGGGGAGUGGAAUUCCAUGUGUAGCGGUGAAAUGCGUAGAUAUAUGGAGGAACACCAGUGGCGAAGGCGGCUCUCUGGUCUGUAACUGACGCUGAGGCGCGAAAGCGUGGGGAGCAAACAGG
rnacentral:rRNA from 1 species